CCCGACUGCUAUUCGGGUGAGAGUAAGCCAUGCGAGUUGUAUGGGAUACCUAAAUUUCCCAUGGCAAACUGCUCAGUAACACAUGAUCAACUUACCCUAUAGAGGAAACUAACCUCGGGAAACUGAGGAUAAUGUUCCAUAGUUGAAUCGGCUUGGAAAAGUUUUUCAAUAAAAGGGAUAAGAAAAAUGGUUCUUAUCUGCUAUAGGAUAGGAUCGUGCUCGAUUAUGGUUGUUGGUGAGGUAACGGCUCACCAAGCCGAUAAUCGAUAGGGGCCGUGAGAGCGGGAGCCCCGAGAUGGGUACUGAGACAACGACCCAGGCCUUACGAGGCGCAACAGGCGCGGAACCUCCGCAAUACACGAAAGUGUGACGGGGUUACCCAAAGUGUUCUAUUUAGAACUGUGGUAGGUGAGUAAUGUCCCCUACUAGAAAGGAGAGGGCAAGGCUGGUGCCAGCCGCCGCGGUAAAACCAGCUCUUCAAGUGGUCGGGAUAAUUAUUGGGCUUAAAGUGUCCGUAGCCGGUUUAGUAAGUUCCUGGUAAAAUCGGGUAGCUUAACUAUCUGUAUGCUAGGAAUACUGCUAUACUAGAGGGCGGGAGAGGUCUGAGGUACUACAGGGGUAGGGGUGAAAUCUUAUAAUCCUUGUAGGACCACCAGUGGCGAAGGCGUCAGACUGGAACGCGCCUGACGGUGAGGGACGAAAGCCAGGGGAGCGAACCGGAUUAGAUACCCGGGUAGUCCUGGCCGUAAACGAUGCAUACUAGGUGAUGGUACGGCCAUGAGCCGUGUCAGUGCCGUAGGGAAACCGUUAAGUGUGCCGCCUGGGAAGUACGGUCGCAAGGCUAAAACUUAAAGGAAUUGGCGGGGGAGCACCACCAAGGGGUGAAGCCUGCGGUUC
rnacentral:rRNA from 1 species